GCAGCCGCGGUAAUACGUAGGGUGCAAGCGUUAAUCGGAAUUACUGGGCGUAAAGCGUGCGCAGGCGGUUCUAUAAGACGGGCGUGAAAUCCCCGGGCUCAACCUGGGAAUUGCGUUUGUGACUGUAGAGCUAGAGUACGGCAGAGGGGGGUAGAAUUCCACGUGUAGCAGUGAAAUGCGUAGAUAUGUGGAGGAAUACCGAUGGCGAAGGCAGCCCCCUGGGUCGAUACUGACGCUCAUGCACGAAAGCGUGGGGAGCAAACAGGAUUAGAUACCCUGGUAGUCCACGCCCUAAACGAUG
rnacentral:rRNA from 1 species